ACGGGUGAGUAACGCGUGAGCAACCUGUCCCAGACAGGGGGAUAACACUUGGAAACAGGUGCUAAUACCGCAUAAGACCACGGGGUCGCAUGGGCUCUGGGGUAAAAAGGAGCAAUCCGGGUUUUGGGGUGGGCUCGCGGUCCGAUUAGAUAGUUGGUGAGGUAACGGCCCACCAAGUCGACGAUCGGUAGCCGACCUGAGAGGGUGAUCGGCCACAUUGGAACUGAGAGACGGUCCAAACUCCUACGGGAGACAGCAGUGGGGAAUAUUGGGCAAUGGGCCGAAAGCCUGACCCAGUAACGCCGCGUGAGUGCAGAAGGCCUUUGGGUUGUAAAGCUCUGUUAUAGGGGACGAAGGAAGUGACGGUACCCUAUAAGGAAGCCCCGGCUAACUACGUGCCAGCCGCAGC
rnacentral:rRNA from 1 species